rnacentral:snRNA from 1 species
GUGCUGGCUACAGCACAGACUAAAAUUAGAAUGAUAUAGAGAAGAUGGACUUGGCCCCCCAUGCAAGGACAAUACACAAGCUGGAGAACUGUCCCAUAUUCUU